AGCAUCCUAAUGUUUAUAAUUUGAGUAGACAAAGUCACAAUUACUACAGCAAAAAAAAAAACUGAAAAUGAGAGCAAGUAUAAAAGUGAAAGUUGGGAGGAGGUUAAUAAGGGCUGAUGCAAGUGUCUGUGAGCUUAGUUCUAUUCCAACAUAAGCCAUUAUAAUUCCUGAACUCUUGCAUAGUAAAAAGCUAAAUCAGAAGAUGAAGGCCCACAUGAAAGAAUAGAAUCCGACAAAAAUAGUUACAUUAUAAAAGACAAGCAAGGAAUCCAAAUUAAUGAUAAGGAAAACACAAAAUAUGAUAAUAAAGUAGCAAUGGCAAAUAGAAAAAGUAACAUUAACCCAAAGAAUGCAAACAGAAAGAAGCUGCAGAGUGUAGAGAAUGUGAGACGAGGACGUUCUGACCUACUCAAAGGAAAAAAAAAAGGUAAAGAUAAGAAAGGUGGGGUGAGAAUUAUACAAAAGAAUGUGAUUCUCCCUCGAACUUGAACUCUCAUCAAAAUAGGAGAAGCAACCCAUCUAAUGUUUAUCCCUAAAUUUCAAUCAAUAAUCAAUCAGUCAAUGAAACUCAGAGUUAUCAAUACACAUGCAAUUGCAACUCAAUGUAAUCAACUGCAAGGGAAUCAAAACACAUAGCAACAGUCAGGCGAAGCGUUAUAUACAGAAAAACAAGACUAGGUUGAAGAACUCACCCGAACGUAAACAUAGAAGCGUUUUUCGGAGGCGUGCGAGGAUUGGAAACAAAAGAAACAAUAGAGCUCCAAUGUAAACAUAGAGCUCCUACACAACAAAGGCCAUUUAAAUUUAGUUCAAUAGGCAGAAGAGAAAUUGUGCAAUGGUUAAUAGGAAUUGAUUAGCAUUGAGAAAAAAAUGGGUUUUUGGUUAGUACCUCUAAAUCGAUGUUUAGGGUUUCAGCAACAUGGCGCAUGAUAGAGUGGAUGAACUGCUCUUGUUGAUGGAAUGGCGAAUUGAAAUUUGGGGGAGCACGAAUUGAAAUUUGGGCGCAAUGAGUUUCACGAAAGUAAACAAAGUGAAAUUAAAAUGCAGGAAAAAGGAGGGAAAAUUUUCGUUGAAAGUAAAAUGAAUCCCGAACCACAAAGGUUAAAAGCACGCUGAGAAAGCGGUUAUUUUCAAAAGAAAAGAUAAA
rnacentral:lncRNA from 1 species